rnacentral:sRNA from 1 species
CCACGAUAUGGGCAUUGACAGGUGGCA